CCAACGGCUCUUCUAAGAGCCACCCACAACUCCAAGAAAGGAUCA
rfam:Strongylocentrotus purpuratus Contig7142_fixed, whole genome shotgun sequence.